rnacentral:rRNA from 1 species
GACGAACGCUGGCGGCGUGCUUAACACAUGCAAGUCGAACGGAAAGGCCCUGCUUUUGUGGGGUGCUCGAGUGGCGAACGGGUGAGUAACACGUGAGUAACCUGCCCUUGACUUUGGGAUAACUUCAGGAAACUGGGGCUAAUACCGGAUAGGAGCUCCUGCUGCAUGGUGGGGGUUGGAAAGUUUCGGCGGUUGGGGAUGGACUCGCGGCUUAUCAGCUUGUUGGUGGGGUAGUGGCUUACCAAGGCUUUGACGGGUAGCCGGCCUGAGAGGGUGACCGGCCACAUUGGGACUGAGAUACGGCCCAGACUCCUACGGGAGGCUGCAGUGGGGAAUAUUGCACAAUGGGCGGAAGCCUGAUGCAGCAACGCCACGUGCGGGAUGACGGCCUUCGGGUUGUAAACCGCUUUCGCCUGUGACGAAGCGUGAGUGACGGUAAUGGGUAAAGAAGCACCGGCUAACUACGUG